rnacentral:rRNA from 1 species
UACGUAGUGGGCAAGCGUUGUCCGGAUUUAUUGGGCGUAAAGAGCGUGUAGGCGGCCAGGUAGGUCCGCUGUGAAAACUCGAGGCUCAACCUCGAGAUGUCGGCGGAAACCAUCUGGCUAGAGUCCGGAAGAGGAGAGUGGAAUUCCUGGUGUAGCGGUGAAAUGCGCAGAUAUCAGGAAGAACACCCGUGGCGAAGGCGGCUCUCUGGGACGGUACUGACGCUGAGACGCGAAAGCGUGGGGAGCGAACAGG